AUCGACUUUCACUAUAUAUAUAUCAACUUUCAUUAUAUAUAUAUCAAGUUUCAUUAUAUAUAUAUAUCAACUUUCAUUAUAUAUAUAUCAAGUUUCAUUAUAUAUAUAUCGACUUUCAUUAUAUAUAUAUAUCAACUUUCAUUAUAUAUAUAUCAAAUCUUUUUUUCCUACCGAGCCCCGGAAGGGACAUGUCCGUAUGGCGAAGCGACAACGAAGGACACUCACCCGGACGAGAAUUUUAUUGAGUUUUAUUUUAAAAUCGGCCUGAAACACACAGACAUUCAAGCAGUGCGAUGCGCUAAGAGUCUGCCAUGCAGACCAGCGAUCCUGAUAAUGUUGUCGGCCUUGGAUGAUGAGGUCCAGUUACCAGGAGCACUAGUCUGCAGCUUACUGGUUCCGUCCUGCAGCUCCUCCACGCUGUCCUCCUCUCUACAGACCAAAUCAAGAAAAGGGAACCAGGAAGCUGCUGUGGAUCCUCUGCAGUAUCUGGAGAGGUCAGAGGAACGGUUCUUGGAACAGAUCGGAAGACACCAAGACGUGACCUCUGCCAUUCUCCAGAACAUCCAGAAGAUGAAUGAAAACCUUGGUUGCACUGAUGGGACGCAUGGUGUCGGUGCUGGAGCAACUGUCCCAGAAUUAAACUGCAUUGUUGACUAUUGGCUUUUCUAGAAAAUAAAUCUUUUUUAGUACUUCA